UACGGAGGGAGCUAGCGUUGUUCGGAAUACUGGCGUAAGCGCACGCAGGCGGUCUUUUAAGUUUGGAGUGACAGUUGGUGGCUUAACUGCCAAAGUGCUUCGAAAACUGACAGACUUGAGGGCUUCAGAGGGACACGGAAUUGCCGGUGUAGUGGUGAAAUGCGUAGAGAUCGGCAGGAACACCCAGGGGGAAACCAGUGGACUGGGCAGGAGCUGACGCUCAGGUGCGAAAGCGUGGGAGCGAACCGG
rnacentral:rRNA from 1 species